UGCUGGAAAGAAGAAAAACCAGGAUCCUGAAUGGUUUCCAGAAGUGAGGGUCAACCCCUGCACAACUGGAGGUUGACUCUAGAUUCUCUGAGAUUCUUGAAAUAUUCUCACUCUGUCAGAGAUGCCUUCAGGUUGGAGAAUGUAACCACCAAUUAUGUAAGGCCAUAGACUAGAAAGAACCCUCAACACUGAUUCAGUCAGCAUGUGCCCUACUUAGAUGAAAAUGCCACCUUACCUUUCUUUCCUCACACCCCACACUCCACUCUGAAAGGCUUCUAAUGUUAUAAAUUCAUGGGUUGGAGGCAAAGUGGUUAAGCAAUUGAUGGCCGUGGCCCAAUUUCUUUCAUAGAGCUCUUGUUACCAUUGGGUCAUUUAUUUAGGUCAAAAUCAGCGGGUUGUUCAGUCUGUCCAAAUUCAUACAUCUUAAGUCCUUUGGAGUGAACGUUGACCAGGCUCUUUCCCACUGUGAGUUUCCUGCUAAUUGUUCUUUGUAGUUAUGCAUUUGUCUGGGCCUUUUUCCCACAAUUAUCUGGAGAUAGGUCUUUUUGCUCAACUUGAAAACUCUCCACUAGGAAAACUAAGAAUAAAUGGAAUUCUCUUUGGGAUUUCUGUGUGCAUUUGCAAGGACCACGUAUAAAUGUCUGUGGGACACCAGAGGCUGAUGCUGGGCAGGCCCGGGCAGUGGGGAACUGGAAAAUCUUGCACCAGACUCAAGACUCCUAAGAGUGUCCAGUUUCCCUUUGUUUGCAGAUGGCUGUUGUAGCCAGCUACUCUCAGGAACUGGGUGGGGAAAGAGACUUCUCACCUCAAUAUCAAGACACUCAACUAAGAAAGGAUGCUCCAAAUGCCCAAAUGGGAAAAUUGGUUUGGCUCCUCUAGUCAAAGUACAAGGGUCUCCGGGCACCUCCUGCUUAACUGUGCCUCCACCAGAAAGCCUCCUGGCAAUAGAGGUACACUGCUGUUUGGACUGGACUUGCCUACUUUCAUUCAGUCGUAGAGUCAUUAGGCUGUCCCCAUUCAUCAGAAACUCACAGCCUGAAAGAGAGAGGAGUUUACGCCCUUCACUCCCGUAGUCAGAGUUUAUGAAUAUAAUCUAGUUUGAAAAGUUCCGUGCAGCAAGGAUUAUUGCCUGACUCUGAAGCCUCUUGCCUUCUGAAAAGCUCCCUGUGCCCCCACGCUCCCCUCUUCUAUAGCAACCCCUGACAAUUGUUAGCUUCUGUGCAUUCACUGUCCCCGGAGCAACCUCCCCAGGCCUCUGUUUAAUUUCAAAUCCAAUAAAACUGUUUAAAAGCGCCUAUAGAGUUUAAUUAUUCUUUCCCACUGCUGUCCUUUUUAGAAAAAAAUUUUAAAUAACACGAGUAUAGGGGUUGAAGCUCUAAGGCAGUAUAGAAAUAUCUUUAAACUCCAAAUUGAAGGAAGUAGAAUGAUCCAAACCUCUGAGAGAGGUGAAGUGAUGAGCACUGAUAAAAUAUCACAACAAGUGGGUUGUAGAUACUUCUUCAACUUGACUUUGACUCUAAUGCUUUCCAUCAGUUCCUUUGAAAGCUCAAAGGUGGACAAGGUUCACAGAGGAGCGUGCAGCAUGGGGAAAAGGAGUCAGGACACAUCUUAAAGUUCCUUCUAGGCCCUAAAAUUCUAUGAUUAGGACUUUUAAUAGACGACUUCAAGAAGGCCUAAAAGAUCUGGAGUAAUUAAGCUACAUGAUGGGAGGCUAGACUCAAGGGAGACCUCCCAGCAGUAAAGCAGUGUUAAAUAUUGGAGUGUGUUACACUAAAGGGUGACGUGCAAUUCAUUUUGCAGUGGUGGUUUUCAAACUUGAACAGAUGUCAGAAUCACCUGUGAACCCUGUUAAAACCCAGCCCCUGAGCCCCACUUUCAGAAUUUCUGAUUCUACGGGUCUGGAAUGGGGCCCAAGAAUUUGCACGUCUAACAGAUUUCCUGGUGCUGCUGCUGCUGGUCGGAACACCGUAUUGUCAGAAUCACUGUUCUGGAACCUUGCCACUCAAAGUGCGGCCCACCCACCAGCAGCAUCGGCAUCACCAGGAAGCUUGUUAGAAAUGCAGAUUCUCAGGUCCCACCCCCCAGCCUACUGAGUCUGAAAAUUCAUCUUAAGAUCCCCACAUGAUCCGUACGCAAUAAAAAUUUGAGAAACACGACUCUGGAAGUCUUUGGUGGUCGAAGCAUGGCUCCUCACCCUUCAGAGGCUGCAGCAGAAAACAACCCUAACCUGAGUGGAUUCCCAUGGUCCUACAACUCUGCCAAUAAGGCUUUGUAACAGCUUUAACUUACAAGCAUGAUCCCCAAAUUUCCAUUCCCAGCCUCAGGCAGGAUAAUCCAUCAUCCUGAGUUAUAUUCUAGCAAAUGUCGCUGAGGUCACAUGCUCAAGGAACAUUUAACUAAUUCAAACAUACUCAUAUGGCCAGAGUUACUAAGAAGAAAGAGAGGUGAUCUCAAAACCAACUGAUUCAUUCCCGAACCGCACAAAAGGAAAUAAGUCUCUGAAACCAACUAUAGAGUUCUGUCUUGCUGUGAAUCAUUCGAUUUUCCUACAUGAGUAAACCAAGGAGUAGUGUCCCUCCUCUGUGCCUUGAGCUCACUGUGGGUCAGCGUUGAUGAAAACAACCGCAAGAGGCACAGGUUCGGAAUGGAAAAGUGAUAGGAACUCAGUACUUCUGCCUUCAGAGUCAGCCCAAGACAAAAACGGUCGCACCCGGCUCCGUCCACAUUGCUAUGUCCAGUCUGCCCCGGACACCACUGCAGCCCCACCAGGCCCUCCUCGGACAUGCUCCUGGCCCUUCACGAGCCUGCCAAGCAUUCGCCACAGAUGGCCUAUAAUGAAGCCACGUGCAUACACGGCCAGCACAUGGCAGCUGCUAUUAAAAUUAGCUCCCGCCCCGAAUCCCUGAAGCAAACAAAUAUGGGGACUUCAAGUGGAAUCCUUUGAAAACAAAGAGUUCCUCUAUUAGGUGGAAUCCCAAACACGAAGUGAGGCAACGUGAGGGAUUGUUCGCAGGCUGACUCUGCAGGUUACCCCCUAGCUGACGCUGGAGAGGCAAGAAGGCCAGGCCCAUAAAGCCAAACCUAUCUAGGUGUCGCCAGGUCGUGCUGCACGGCCCAUCUUUGGCUCAGAUCUUUGGCUCAGCUACAAAGAAUCCCAGAGCCAACUUUUCCAUGACGUACUUGCAGGCCAGUCCGUUUCGAGUGCGUCAUUAGAGACUAAGGGGACGACAGGGUGCCGGGGUGGCGACGCUGCGGCAAAGCCCGGGCAUUUGCCAGCUGAGGAAUGCCGGACCGGUGUGUCCCGGGUCAUGGCUCAGAGCCAGGCGUCUUCCCACCCUGCUGCCGGCCACAUGGAGCGGAACCAGCCACCGCAGUGAGGCGUCUUGCCUCCCGCUCUCGGUGGGCACACGAGCCACGCGGGUGAAGGUCUGCUCAGAUUGUGGCCUCUCAGACCCAACUCCAGGAUAGACAUAUCUCAAAGGCAGCACUUCCAGGGAGGAAUGAGGAUCUCCUGGUGUCAGGAGCCCCGUUUCUCAGCAGGGUGAACCCCCAGGUUCUCUGCACACAGGCCCCACACGAUGCAGUGCUAUUUGUCAGAAAGCACAGGAUGACGCGGAGAAACCACAGCCCCCAGCAGCUCAGCUGUCACCCGUGACCGUGGAAGUAUGGGAACAGAAGACCAUCAGUCACACCCCUCCCUCAGCUGAGACUACACACUGCUUGUCUUCACCUGCCCAGAUUUCUGAAGCCCCUCGGCCCCCAAGGGCUUAAAGAGGCAAGUGGCCAGGCAGGGAGGCAAGUACACCUGGGCUCCAUUAAUGGCAACCCAGGGUCCACUUGGCAGGACACGAGCCUUCCCUUUUGCUAUCGGCUGACCCAAUGGGGCCAUCAAGAGCACAGAACCUGGCAUCCUCCAUGGAUCCUCCAUGGAAAGUUUGCCUAAAACAAACUCUAGGCUUUGCCUAAAGCCUCAACACAAAUGUUUCUCCUCAAUAAGCAACCCAACCUUCUUGCUCACAUGCAUCUUAACGUGGUUUUAGAAGUGUGCAUUUGGAGGAUGUGAAAGAAGUUUGCUCACGUGACGAGUUAUUGGUAAAAGUAACCUUAGGACACAAACUGAUUUCUUCUCAAAUUAUAAAAAAAAUAGAGCCGUAGAGACAUCGAUUCAGAGGCGCAAUCGGAGUAUGCAAGCCCUUGGGUCUCUUUACUACUCAGUUUAGAAAAAGUUAAUUUCGGGUUCAGCCCCGGGAGCCAACGAGGGUAGGGACACUACAGCCGUUGUUGACAAGACGGACUCUUGACCACCAAAGAACUUAAUACAUCCAAGACACUGCUGUAAGCGGUCUACACAUACUAACACGUUUUAUUCUCAAACAACCCUAUGGGGCAAGCACUAUUAUCGAUCUCAUUUUACAGGCGAAGAAACUGAGAAAGAGAGAACUCACCCAGCGUCACAGAGUAGUCACAGGCAGUACUGGGAUUGGAACCCAAAGAAUGCGUCCCCCUAGCCCAUGCUCCUAAGUACUAUGCUACACUCCCACCCUCUGGAUGUUACCCCCAUUUCCCAAACCAAGCCUGACAGAUAGGAGUGUACUUGAUGGGAGAAUCCGAAAACGAGACGUGUGCUAAAAUCUGGGAUAAAUGUCACUAAGCCCAGGAGGACUUUGAAGCCGAAUUCUACAUCCAAUUUAAUGUGGGUGUGGGCUGCGGUGGGGUUAGGGGAGACUCAGUGCAACUCUCCUGUCCCUCAACAUGUGGUCCCUGGACCAGCGACAUCGGCGUCACCUGGAAGCUCGUCAGAAAUAAAUCGGUGGCCUUCGCCCCAGACCUGCUGCUGCAUGAGAAGCUGCACAUUAACACGACUCGAGUGUGCCUAAGGUCUGAGGAGGACUGGUCAAAUCAUUUCACUUUGCUCCCCACCUGGGCCAUCAUGCCGUGGCUCUUCCAGACACAUGUGGAGGGCGUUUGGCCAUCUGAUGAGGCUGUCCCUGAACUGUAGUUUCUUAAUAGUUGCCCAAUCCAAGAGCACCAGAUCUGCCUUCAAACCAGUCUCCCGCCUUUGGGGUAAAGUUGAUGGAAAGUACUCAAGAGCCCACCUUGCCCCAAAUCCUUCCCUAUCCCCUGAGACCCCCAGCCAGCCAGCCAGCCUCCUUGCCCAUUUUAGCCCUCCAGAGCCCCACUCAAGUCGCAAGUUUAGAGUAACACCUUGUCUCCUCAAGAAGCCUUCAAGACUGGUCUUCCAUUCUCAGCUU